rnacentral:tRNA from 3 species
GGGACUGUAGCUCAGGUGGUUAGAGCGCACGCCUGAUAAGCGUGAGGUCAGUGGUUCAACUCCACUCAGUCCCA